CAAGCAGCAAACCGGAGACGCGACCGCGCGAGCACGAGCGCGUCCAGACGUCCCAGUGUCUGUGAGUGGACUUGGAGCUUUUUACUGCUUAGUUUGAGCAUUGCAGCUGCUGCGGUGCACACCGGACGUGAUGGAGGACUGCACCUGCCGCACCGACAACACUCUCUCCUUCUUCUUCUCCUUCAUGUGUGUCCCGGGCUCGUGCGGACUCCGUGCUGGAGAGCCUAAUUGCUAGACUCGAAGCAGGUGCUCUGUUGGAUCUCACAGAAAAAGGAUCCUGCGGCAGUACGGCUGACCCGCUGAGCUUCAAGAACACAACGUGAAGUCGGUCUGCGUUUGGACAGAGGAUUGGAACGCGGCCCUGAACAGAGCGAUUGGGUCCUGCCGAGGUCACGCGAGAUUCUUCAAAGUAGUCAGCGUUUACCUUGAUGACUCUUUGGACACCACUGACAUUAUCUUAACCAGCUCCAUAAGGAAGUCACCUGGAAUGCUUUGCGGUUAACAGAUCCACCUCUCACCGCCGUCCCUUCUGUUUACCACCUGACUCUCACUGCGCGCGCGCACACAAACUCUUGGUUGUGUGGGUAUGAAGCAUGAAGUGAGUUCUGUCAGGGCAGUCAGAGGGGAAAACAGUAACCCGGGCAAACAGCGGCCUUCCAGGAGCCACGUCAUUCCAGCACUCGCUCAGAGGGAGUGAAAACGGAAAGUGUUUACCCAUCCUUGCUGGAAACCUGGAUAGCCGUGUGGAAAGAGGCACAGAGAGGUUAUAUAAACACCAGCUGAACCAUCCAAACAGACUGAAAAGGAGGAAGCAGAAAGCAGCUGAUGUCAUUACUGGUAGUGAUUUGUGCACGUUUCUAAUAUGAAUGCCUUUUUUUUUUGUCUCUCACUUCCUGGGAGAGAAUGGAAGAGGAAAUGGAGUGACUGGGUGAAGGGAAUCGUACUUCCAUGGUGGGCUUUUCAUACACACACACACACACACACACACGCACACACAUUUGGAAAUAGUGUGUGUUGGUUUGUAACCAGUGCCUUCUCUGACUGAAACACUGCCCUCUUGUGUUUGCCCACAGAACUGCAUGCUGCCUGGCAGUAGCAGGUUUUUAUACAAAAAUGGUGAAUACAUCUCAUCUCAUCUCAUUAUCUC